UUUAUUGUAACUGACAAUUAAGUUGUACUUAAGGUUGUUCAUACCAUGCAAGAAUGUGUUUUGUAUACUGUAUUUAAAUGGACUAUCCCAGCUGUACAGCUAGUAUAAUUUGUACAUUGGCACUCUUUGUACUUGCCCUGUUUGUGCAUAUUCUUGGCAAUACGUAAGACAACAGAUUAAAUUUACCUAUUCACUGAUAUGGUUGCCCUAAGACAUUGACAUUGUUGUGGCCUGGAAACUCUAAAUAUAGUAGUACAGACUAUUUAAUGGAUGAAUACUAUUUAGCUGCCGCCUCCUAGAGAUUGCUUAUACCACAGGUGUUGUCUUAUAUUAUAAAUAAGUCAACAUCCUACUCUGCCCAACUGGAGCUGACACCUGUCAUUGAAAACCACUCUAAUAUGUUUUGUUCACACAUUUACGUAGCUGUCUAUGUAAUAAUUAUGCCAUGUAAUGUGUUCACCCCUAUACCCUUCUCAAUGGCUCCUGACAGUGAAGUUUCAAAUUACAUACGUAUAGGUGCAUGUGUUUAAUUCAUGGGAGAAGUUAAUUGUGAAUAUUGUGUGAAUAUUGUUUCAUGAGCCAACCUUGAAUGUACAAUUUGCUGUAUGUCCAUGGCUGGCUUGUUAUAGGUAUAUAGACUGUAUCCAUAAAUAAUAGCAAAAGUCCAAUAAAAAGGGAGAGUAUUGAACGAAGCAUUACCUUGCAUCAGAUGUACCAUGCCGGAAAGUGCCUGGAGUAAAGUGCCUGGAUCCGCCACUUGCCUCGAGGCAGCAAUAAUGCUAUAACCAAAUUGUCAUAAUUUAUCACGCGUUUCAGACAGGAAAUCACGUUACUUUCCGAACUGAUACAAGGCAGCGAUUUGUUCGAUACUUUCUCUCUUUUAUUAUGCCGUCGUGGACUCUAGACAGUAUAAUUAUAUUAUGUGUGUGCAUGUACAUCAUGUAUUUGUCAGUAUACAUUUCCACAGGACAAAUCAAUGAUGAUUAUAGAGAAUCAAUGAUGAUUAUAGAGAAUAAAUGUAUGUGUGACAUGCUAACAUUGAUACUGCAGCUUAACUGGGAGAUAAGGAGUGGAAGUUGAGGCACCUGGUUGAUGUAUCAAACACCAAUUAAACACUGCAGGAUUAAUAGCGUUGACUCUAGAUUACCGUUAACUAUGGACGACUAAAUAUGUAUUGUGUUUCCUGUCAUGUGCCUUAUUGGUAAACUACACACCCCCAGCAUGUCAAAAAACUACACACCCCCCAGCAUGUCAAAAGACAGUGGUAGGUCUUAGCAGAUUGUGUGUAGCAUUAUUGAAAUAAAGAGUCACCUGAAGCAAUGGCAGAGAGAAAGGGGAGAAGGAAGGGUGGUAAAAAGUACUCACCCCCCACUUCUGAAGCGUCAUUUAAGGUGACAGCUAAUUGUAUUCAAGUAACUGACGGUGAUGUGAGUUCCCUAAACAUCGUCACUGGAACUCUUAAUGAGAAGAUGCGUGGUGGUCGUGAAGAGAGUGACACAGGCUUUGAAGGAGAGAUUACUUCUACAGAGAAGCAUACUACUCUGGACUACUCCAAAGUCAGAGGCAUUCAAAGACCAACAUCUGGCAUAUCUGGUUAUGAUGUAACGCUAAAGAGAAUAGUGACAGUCGCGCAGAUUGCUCCUAGCCAGAUUGUGGCAGUCUCCAAGACUUUUAAGUUCAAUGGGGACGGUAAGAAGACCCUGACGACUGAUAUACUCAAUGAGAUGAACAGCGAGGGGACUACUGAAAUGCAGCUGAAACAGCAGAUGAUCUUCUAUAAGGAUCAGCUUGACAAUAAGCGAGAGCCUAAGACUACGGAUGCGAAGCAGAAUGAACCUUCUGCCAAAUCUGUCAACCCUCCUGAAGAGCUUGAGAGCCCUCCUAACGAGUCCGGUAACUCUCCUGCAGAGCCUGACCCCCCACCCACUGACUCCCCUAAAGAGCCUGGUCUCACGUCCACUGAUUCCGGUACUGACUGUGUGAAUAAACUGGGGGACUCUGAUACGAAGGACAAUUUGAGGAAAAGUUCUGGUAAUGCCGAUAAUGUUCCAGCAGAAACUGAGAGUUCAAACGAGCCAACCAUCUCACAUGAUCCUCCCAGCACUCAAGGCUCUUCUGCCGGUGCUGGCUGUCCUAAUGAGCAGGGAAACUCGAGCGACCCUUCAUCCACACAGGACACCUCGACAACAGGCACUCCUAGCUACCAGUCUACUCCCAGCUCUAAGACUGACAAACAUAGUGACGUUACAUCUGAUCAAACUGAAAAUUCACAAACCCUGCGAACAUCACAUGAUCUUCCGUCUAAGGACAGUACCGCUAAGACGAAAGACUCACAUUUCAAUCAGAACCAUAAGAAAAGAAUGAAAACUCAACAGGAAACUCCAUCCCAAGCACCCAGAAAGAGAUCAUGUCGUUCUCGUAACAAAAGAGAUGCAAUCAAGAACCGGAAUCUGAAGAAAAAUGAAGGGAAAAACCAUUUCCCUAAGCAACCACCCAGCCACGAUGUCACAUGCACAUCCUAUGACACAGACGAGCAAUUAGUACAUCAACAAACACUCGAUUUGGCUUCUCGAAAGAAAAAACCGCUUCAACGGCGUAGAAGGGGAACAGCUACAAAAGGUGAAGAGUCAUGGCCAAAUUCUGAUGAUUCUGAGUCCAAGAGGGAUGCUACAGAUUGCUACGAGAGUACACGAUCUAGGGUCAAGUCCAAGCGACCAAACAGCAUCAAACGACACCGUACGAGAGCCCCACAAUCUGGUGAUGGAGGUGGUGCUCCGAGAGAUCCAGAGCAAAGUACACAGUCAUGUGACAGCGAUUCAGUGUCUGAGGAUAAGUCCUGGACUAGGCCAACUCAAGAGACUGACCCGGCUACUUCUACAGAGAUGGUCUACCCUCGUCCAAGGCCACUACCUUUGACUAAUGAAGGACAACUAAAUUUGUACGUCUCCUCUCAUGAACCACCUCGACUAGAGGAGAUGAUGGCCUCUAGUGUGCAAGUGUUUGCAGAGCCAUUGCAUGAUUCAUCAACCACUAGCCAGCUCGUGUCCCCUCCUUCGUGUGUGCCUGUCUCUCUACAACCGCCAUCCCUUUACUGGUUUCGCAUCAAUGUCAUCAGAGGAAGGAGUUGUGGUGAUUGGCAGUAUGCAUGUAGUAGCAAGCCCCUUAGCUACAUGCACUGUUAUAGUACUGCAUAUAGCAUACCACCAAGUGUAAGUAUUGUGAAUACUGUAUUAGCGGUGUUUUUAAUGUACCAUCAAGUAUAUAUGUACUGUACGUCGCAUAAUUCCUAUAUAUAUACAUGCAUACCCAGAACCACUUCACCAGUAUACUAGUCUAUUUGUGUUGAGUUUAACCUUCAUAAAGUUAUCAUAACUUGUCAUGCUUCACUGAAAUUCAAAAUUUCACAUACCAUUGGAUUCCUUGUUAAAAAGCGCUUCUAUCUAUGCUCUGUAGAGUUAAUAAGCUCCAACCAACUAUAAAAGUUAGCAUUUUCCACGUGGAAGUCCCUGGCAUACUCAUAAAGCAUAAAUGAAGCCAUAAUUGACCACAUUACUUCCGGGGCCGAACUCAACGCAAAUAGACAUGCGUAUAUACGCGCAAUUAAAGUAUAAGUACAAUUUUAAGAUGUUAAAAAAUACAGGUAGAGUUGAUGUGAGACUCACUAGAGAGAAGAGAGUGAGAUCUGAAUGCUUUAAAUCAGUAAUCAAUUCGAAGCUUUGGUCAGAAUAAUUAUGUCACUUCAGAUCCCUUUCUUAUAGAGAGGAGCAAGACGCUUAUCCAAUGGGAUCACGCUGAGAGAUGCUAUCACUGGAUGGGUGGAGACAAGAGAACCUAACCAACUGCGACGGCUAAUUGCUGCUCUUAUCCGAUUUGUGAUGAUGUGGGGGAGGGGCAUAAGAAGCCUCGAUGCCGUCACUG